GACGGAGGAUGCAAGCGUUUAUCCGGAAUGAUUGGGCGUAAAGCGUCCGCAGGUGGCAGUUCAAGUCUGCUGUCAAAGACCGGGGCUUAACUUCGGAAAGGCAGUGGAAACUGAACAGCUAGAGUAUGGUAGGGGCAGAGGGAAUUCCUGGUGUAGCGGUGAAAUGCGUAGAGAUCAGGAAGAACAUCGGUGGCGAAGGCGCUCUGCUGGACCAUAACUGACACUCAGGGACGAAAGCUAGGGGAGCGAAUGGGG
rnacentral:rRNA from 1 species